rnacentral:rRNA from 1 species
UACGUAGGGUCCGAGCGUUGUCCGGAAUCACUGGGCUUAAAGGGCGCGUAGGCGGGCGGCCCAGUCGGGGGUGAAAUCGUUCGGCUCAACCGGACAACAGCCUUCGAUACUGGCCGCCUGGAGGGGGGUAGGGGCGUGUGGAACUUCCGGUGGAGCGGUGAAAUGCGUUGAUAUCGGAAGGAACUCCGGUGGCGAAAGCGACACGCUGGACCCCGCCUGACGCUGAGGCGCGAAAGCCAGGGGAGCGAACGGG